UACGUAGGGGCCGAGCGUUGUCCGGAGUUAUUGGGCGUAAAGCGCGCGCAGGCGGCCUCGCGCGCCCGACGUGAAAGCCCCCGGCUUAACCGGGGAGGGUCGUUGGGGACGGCGGGGCUUGAGGGCGGGAGAGGGUGGUGGAAUUCCCGGUGUAGUGGUGAAAUGCGUAGAGAUCGGGAGGAACACCCGUGGCGAAGGCGGCUCACUGGCUCGUAACUGACGCUCAUGCACGACAGCGUGGGGAUCAAACAGG
rnacentral:rRNA from 1 species